rnacentral:rRNA from 1 species
AUUGAACGCUGGCGGCAUGCCUCACACAUGCAAGUCGAACGGUAACAGGUCUUCGGAUGCUGACGAGUGGCGAACGGGUGAGUAAUACAUCGGAACGUGCCUAGUAGUGGGGGAUAACUACUCGAAAGAGUGGCUAAUACCGCAUGAGAUCUACGGAUGAAAGCAGGGGAUCGCAAGACCUUGUGCUACUAGAGCGGCCGAUGGCAGAUUAGGAAGUUGGUGGGAUAAAAGCUUACCAAGCCGACGAUCUGUAGCUGGUCUGCGAGGACGAUCAGCCACACUGGGACUGAGACACGGCCCAGACUCCUACGGGAGGCAGCAGUGGGGAAUUUCGGACAAUGGGCGAAAGCCUGAUCCAGCAAUGCCGCGUGCAGGAUGAAGGCCUUCGGGUUGUAAACUGCUUUUGUACGGAACGAAAAGCCCCGGGUUAAUACCCUGGGGUCAUGACGGUACCGUAAGAAUAAGCACCGGCUAACUACGUGCCAGCCGCCGCGGUAA